UUUAGUGUUUAGUUUCACUGUGUGAGUUUUAGUGGUAAAAAGUUUCCAUUUUAUCUUGUAUUAGUUAAUUAAUCACUGUUUCAGGUGUUGUACUUGUGUUUUCCAGGUCGACUUGCUCAGCUGCUGCAGUUUGGACAGAGACACCAACAUCACCUUACAGACCAACAGGUGUCACCACUUCGUCCACAAUCAGACAUUGUCCAUGCUUCAUAGAACUAUUGGCAGAGACUGGGGUCACUGAUUUGACAGCAUUGCUUGCGAUCAGAGAGACGUAGUCCACAAUCACUGAGUAUUUGUAUAAUGAAGAAGUUCUUUGAGACCAGGACAGAGGCCUCCAGAGACAAGUGCCAGAGUUGGUAGUGACGGAGUGAUCCGAUUCGGCGGCAUAAUCUGCGAUCAGAGCGACAUAGUCCUCGAUCUCAGAGACAUUUUCUGCAAUUAGACAGAUAUAGUCCUUGAUCUCAGAGACAUCAAACUCUUGGAGGAGGAGAAGACUGCAUCACCUGAAGAGGUCAACAAAAGUAGUUUGUUAUUAAAGAUGUUCAGAGAUGUAUAAGACUUCAAUAAGCAUAUGUGUUCAUUACUACAUUAAAUUUGGGCUGAGAGAAUAAAACAAAGUCUCUCCAAGUGGUCAAACAUC